AGCGAACGCUGGCGGCAGGCUUAACACAUGCAAGUCGAACGGGCACUUCGGUGCUAGUGGCAGACGGGCGAGUAACGCGUGGGAACGUACCUUUCGGUUCGGAAUAAUUCAGGGAAACUUGGACUAAUACCGGAUACGCCCUUCGGGGGAAAGAUUUAUCGCCGAUAGAUCGGCCCGCGUCUGAUUAGCUAGUUGGUGAGGUAAUGGCUCACCAAGGCGACGAUCAGUAGCUGGUCUGAGAGGAUGAUCAGCCACAUUGGGACUGAGACACGGCCCAAACUCCUACGGGAGGCAGCAGUGGGGAAUAUUGGACAAUGGGCGCAAGCCUGAUCCAGCCAUGCCGCGUGAGUGAUGAAGGCCUUAGGGUUGUAAAGCUCUUUUGUCCGGGAAGAUAAUGACUGUACCGGAAGAAUAAGCCCCGGCUAACUUCGUGCCAGCAGCCGCCGUAACAC
rnacentral:rRNA from 1 species